rnacentral:rRNA from 1 species
AGUGAACGCUGGCGGCAGGCCUAAUACAUGCAAGUCGAACGGCAGCACAGCAGAGCUUGCUCUGUGGGUGGCGAGUGGCGGACGGGUGAGGAAUACAUGGGAAUCUGCCCAGUCGUGGGGGAUAACGUAGGGAAACUUACGCUAAUACCGCAUGCGCCCUUCGGGGGAAAGCCGGGGACCUUCGGGCCUGGCGCGAUUGGAUGAGCCCAUGUCGGAUUAGCUAGUUGGCGGGGUAAUGGCCCACCAAGGCGACGAUCCGUAGCUGGUCUGAGAGGAUGAUCAGCCACACUGGAACUGAGACACGGUCCAGACUCCUACGGGAGGCAGCAGUAGGGGAAUAUUGGACAAUCCCGGGGGCAAGCCUGAUCCAGCCAUGCCGCGUGAGUGAAGAACGGCCCGUCGGGUUAGUAAAGCUUCUUUUGGUACCGGAAAAGAAAGCGCCGGGUUAAUACCCUAGUGUCCUGACGGUACCGGAAGAAUAAGCACCGGCUAACUUCGUGCCAGC